rnacentral:rRNA from 1 species
GGUCAAGCUACAAAGGGCUCACGGCGGAUACCUUGGCACACAGAGGCGAUGAAGGACGUGGUUACCUGCGAUAAGUCUCGGGGAGCUGGAAACACGCUUUGAUCCGGGAAUUUCCGAAUGGGGCAACCCCUUGUACGGUCAGCUGAAUCCAUAGGCUGGCGCGAGCCAACCCAGCGAACUGAAACAUCUUAGUAGCUGGAGGAAAGGAAAGUAAAAACGACUCCCUC